rnacentral:rRNA from 1 species
GCCCUAGUAACGGCGAGUGAAGCGGCAACAGCUCAAAUUUGAAAUCUGGCCCUCGGGUCCGAAUUGUAAUUUGUAGAGGAUGCUUUUGGUGCGGUGCCUUCCGAGUUCCCUGGAACGGGACGCCAGAGAGGGUGAGAGCCCCGUACGGUUGGACACCUACCCUAUAUAUAGCUCCUUCGACGAGUCGAGUAGUUUGGGAAUGCUGCUCUAAAUGGGAGGUAAAUUUCUUCUAAAGCUAAAUACCGGCCAGAGACCGAUAGCGCACAAGUAGAGUGAUCGAAAGAUGAAAAGCACUUUGAAAAGAGGGUUAAAUAGCACGUGAAAUUGUUGAAAGGGAAGCGUUUGUGACCAGACUUUUUCUUAGUGGAUCAUCCGGUGUUCUCACCGGUGCACUUCACUGGGUUUAGGCCAGCAUCGGUUUCCGGAGGGGGACAAAAGCAUGGGGAAUGUGGCUCUUUCGGGAGUGUUAUAGCCCCUAGCAUAAUACCUCUCCUGGGGACCGAGGACCGCGCUUCGGCAAGGAUGCUGGCGUAAUGGUUAUCAACGACCCGUCUUGAAACACGGACCAAGGAGUCGAACAUUUGUGCGAGUGUUUGGGUAUCAAACCCUCACGCGUAAUGAAAGUGAACGGAGGUGAGAGCCCCUCGGGGUGCAUCAUCGACCGAUCCUGAUGUCUUCGGAUGGAUUUGAGUAAGAGCAUAACUGUUCGGACCCGAAAGAUGGUGAACUAUGCGUGGAUAGGGUGAAGCCAGAGGAAACUCUGGUGGAGGCUCGCAGCGGUUCUGACGUGCAAAUCGAUCGUCAAAUCUGCGC